CAAAGAAUGUAGUCAAACAAGCACCACCUUUCAAGUGUACUAGAAUAAGUGCUAGUCUGUUUUGACUCAAGCGAAGUAAAAGAAAAAAAAAAAUUUUUUAUUUCUUUUAUAUGCACUCUUCAAUGUACUUUAAUUGUUCAAGAAACAAGCACAAUUUAGUCUACCGGCUGUCGUCUAAAAAGAAUGGUGUAGUGUACAAAAUAGAAUUAACGGAAGACAAGCCUAUGUAGAAAAUAUUUGCAAAUACAGUCGACUAAUCAGAAUUAGCAGCAUAAGGUGUUUAUAUUCAGUCGAUAACUCACGUCAGCUCCGAAGGCGUAAUCGGUUACGCA